GCUAAUGUUGACAGUGGAUGUAUCGCAAUGGCUUGUAGACAAGCAGCGAUCAGUUUGAUAUAGAAUCUUAUCCGGAUGGAGAAGCACCGGAUUGAAGAAGUUGCAACUCAGCGGCUACAGCAGGACAUUUCCGAAUGAUCUGCAAUCUGAAAAUGUGGAUAUCGCGUGCGCCAUAACACCAACAGCAGAACGGUUAUCCAAACAACAAAGAAAGGCACUGAGAGCUUCCAUCUCAAGAUGUGCUUGUGAGCUCAACCUCAGUCAACAGUAUCUCAUCAGCCCAAGCUGGACUUAUUAAAAACUUUCAUCAGUGUGACAGAGGAGCAUCACUCCCUGAUAGGGUGUGAGCGUCCGUGUGGAAUGACAGCGGGGCGAGAUGCCAAUCUUCUUAGGGGGCUUGACUGUGCCAGAGCCCUGGAGCCUGUGCCCUUAUGCCAAGGACAGGUAUGGUGGAACACUAGAUUUAGCCAAAUUUUAUAUACUUUAUUUUAUACAUUUUGUGCAACCUAUCGCAUGGUCUUUUCAAAAAUGUCUUAAUUUUAAUAAUGUCAUAAUGAAAAAAACACUUGGUUAAAAAUGUCUUUUAGAGUCAUAUUUAUAAAAUAUUUCUUGUAUUUAUAAAUAUAUGAUAAAACAAACUAUUCAGAGGACGCAAAUUCAUUUUACAUUCUAAACAAAAUGACAAUCAUAAACCUAGUACCAUUCAAAAAUUGAACAAGGUUUGUGGUCACUUAUGCAAAAAUGCAGUCAAAAACAGUCAUAUUGUGAAAUGUAUAUACAAUUUAAAAUAGUUUUUCAUUUUAAUAUAUUAAAAAUGUUAUUUAUUCCUAUGAUGGCGAAACAAAUUUGCAAUAAAAUCGCAUGAUCCUUC